UCCCUCAGGGCCCCUCAGGACCUGCCAGCUUAAUUAAAAAGUCACGGAGCUCAUUAGUGUCGGGGAGGUUGUGGUGGUUGGUGAGAGUGAUUUGUGAUCCAAUACUGCUGUGUCAGCUGGGCUAUGGCACUGAGUGGUGCCUCCAGUGUUUCCUCCAACACCUCAGGGUGCAACGGUAACUCCAGGGACGGUAGCUCCACCUCCAGCUUGGCAGCCUGUUCCAAUGUCCAAGAAAGAAUUCUCCUUUAAGUGAAAAAAUUCUUCGUAGUGUCCAACCCGAGCCUCUCCUGGUGCAGCUUGAGGCCUGUGCCUUGUUCCCUGGGAGCAGGGCCCGACCUUACCUGGAAGCGCUUCGUUAGCGGUGGAUGUGCUGGUAUACAUAGCUGACAAGGAAAGUCAAGAUUAAAAUGAUGCAGUUGGGCUCAGCGAUAGAGCCAAAGUGUCAAGGUUCUUUUCUUCAAGGCAGCUGACGAUCCUGGAGGUCUUUAGGCGAAAUUGAAAAGAUAGGAUUCCACAUGCAGCUUAGAAGAAACUUAGCUUCCAUUUGAAACCCUAAUGAGACCCUAAGUAUGGAAA